rnacentral:rRNA from 1 species
GAUGAACGCUAGCUACAGGCUUAACACAUGCAAGUCGAGGGACCGGCGCACGGGUGAGUAACGCGUAUCCAACCUGCCCACCACUUGGGGAUAACCUUGCGAAAGUAAGACUAAUACCCAAUGGUGAUGGAUGGGGAUGCGUCUGAUUAGCUUGUUGGCGGGGUAACGGCCCACCAAGGCGACGAUCAGUAGGGGUUCUGAGAGGAAGGUCCCCCACAUUGGAACUGAGACACGGUCCAAACUCCUACGGGAGGCAGCAGUGAGGAAUAUUGGUCAAUGGGCGAGAGCCUGAACCAGCCAAGUAGCGUGCAGGAUGACGGCCUAUGGGUUGUAAACUGCUUUUAUAAGGGAAUAUGUACCUUAUGAAUAAGGACCGGCUAAUUCCGUGCCAGCAGCCGCGGUAAUACGGAAGGUCCGGGCGUUAUCCGGAUUUAUUGGGUUUAAAGGGAGCGUAGGCCGGAGAUUAAGCGUGUUGUGAAAUGUAGACGCUCAACGUCUGCACUGCAGCGCGAACUGGUUUCCUUGAGUACGCACAAAG